GGAAAACCAGACGAGCACUCCUCGCCCCCCAACCCCCCACCCCACAACACGUGGACCAGGAAGACAUCCAUGUGUAGAGAGAACCUGAGGAGAUGUCUGUCCUCGAACCGCGGAGCUGGUUUCCAUCAAACCCAGUUACAUAAUCCAGGACAGACUGGUCUGGGUCCAGGUCCAGUUGUCCUUGAAUCCAGAGGGGGGACGUCAGAUCCCUUGUCACACCUGCCUCCUUCCUCUAAGGUCGGCAGGCGUGACACCGUCCACUGUCUCCUCCACCUCCUGAUGACAGUCAGAUCAGAUACUGCAUCACUUCAGAAACGUUGAUGCGAAACACAUUAACAGUGUCUUUGUUCCAUCUUCUGGCUCCUCCUGAGGGACUCCAUGCAUUCUGGGAAGUGUAGUUCCUCCAGUGUAUCCUGGCUGAGCAGGAGGCGUUAACACAGUGUAGGGUUUCCUCUAACUGGGUGCAGUAAUC